UUAAGUCAAAUUUGUAUGCAUUUGAAACGGCGCCCCUAGCGGCAAACGUAGGCAUACGUUCCAACUCCAUACAAAUAUGAGUUA
rnacentral:pre_miRNA from 1 species